rnacentral:rRNA from 1 species
AGUGAACGCUGGCGGUAGGCCUAACACAUGCAAGUCGAACGGCAGCACAGUAAGAGCUUGCUCUUACGGGUGGCGAGUGGCGGACGGGUGAGGAAUACAUCGGAAUCUACUUUUUCGUGGGGGAUAACGUAGGGAAACUUACGCUAAUACCGCAUACGACCUACGGGUGGAAGCAGGGGAUCUUCGGACCUUGCGCGAUUGAAUGAGCCGAUGUCGGAUUAGCUAGUUGGCGGGGUAAAGGCCCACCAAGGCGACGAUCCGUAGCUGGUCUGAGAGGAUGAUCAGCCACACUGGAACUGAGACACGGUCCAGACUCCUACGGGAGGAAGCAGUGGGGAAUAUUGGACAAUGGGCGCAAGCCUGAUCCAGCCAUACCGCGUGGGUGAAGAAGGCCUUCGGGUUGUAAAGCCCUUUUGUUGGGAAAGAAAAGCAGCAGGUUAAUACCCCGCUGUUCUGACGGUACCCAAAGAAUAAGCACCGGCUAACUUCGUG